UAUUGCUAGGGGAGCUUUUGCUGAGAUUUACCAAAGGGCUUUCAUGAAGAUUUCACUUCUUAAACAGUGAAAUUCCGCAUUGCCCUGGGAUAAACCCUCAUAACCUGAUCCGGUUAACACCGGCGUAGGGAAGCAG
rnacentral:ncRNA from 1 species